rnacentral:rRNA from 1 species
GCCUGACCUCGGAUCAGACGUGAUUACCCGCUGAAUUUAAGCAUAUUAUUAAGCGGAGGAAAAGAAACUAACAAGGAUUCCCCUAGUAACGGCGAGGUGAACGGGAAGAGCCCAACACCGAAUCCCUUGGCGCAAGUCAACGGGAAAUGUGGUGUAAGGUAGCCCUUCGUGUCAGUCUAGGCGUCUCAAGUCCACCUGAUUGUGGCUCAAGCCCAGAGAGGGUGUAAGGCCCGUAGAGACGCUCCGACUGAUUCCUGGGGUUUACCUACGAGUCGGCUUGUUUGGGAAUGCAGGCCAAAGCGGGUGGUAAACUCCAUCCAAGGCUAAAUACUGGCACGAGUCCGAUAGCGGACAAGUACCGUGAGGGAAAGUUGAAAAGAACUUUGAGAGAGAGUUCAAUAGUACGUGAAACCGCUUAGAGGCAAACGGAUGGUGCUCAUACUGGCCUGAGGAAUUCAACUGUGACGGUGGCUGGACGAGCUGGCGUUCCGAUCUCUCUUUUGGGACGGGCGUCGGUUUGGCUAUCAGCUCCGACAUGGUGCACUUUCCUUGGUGCCUCCGCCACGACCGACGACACUGGCUACCCGCGGCUGGGUAAGGUGACAAACUGCUUCGGCAAUUUGUGUUAUAGACCCGGCGUCGGACAUGGUUUGGCCAGGACGUCGAGCUUGCGGCGCCCGCUCCUUGUGGGCUCGCAUGUUGGCUAGCUUGGCUGCGCCGAUGCUUGCACUGGACAACCAGUACAGGUGACGGUUGUGGUCUUGUCUCUAGUUGGCCUCUGCGAGUUUGGCGCCUAUAGUCUGUGGUGUACUUGUGGGUAGACUAUCCGACCCGUCUUGAAACACGGACCAAGGAGUCUAACAUGUGCGCGAGUCAUGGGGAUUCUACGAAACCCAAAGGCGCAGUGAAAGUAAAGGCCUGCUUCUCGUAGGCUGAGGUGGGAUCUCGUGCAUCGCGAUUGGCGAGCGCACCACCGGCCCGUCCUAUCUGUCUCUGUCAGUGGGGCGGCGCAAGAGCGUACACGUUGGGACCCGAAAGAUGGUGAACUAUGCUUGCGCAGCUCGAAGUCAGUGGAAACACUGAUGGAGGAGCGCAGCGUUUCUGACGUGCAAAUCGAUCGUCAAACGUGAGUAUAGGGGCGAAAGACUAAUCGAACCAUCUAGUAGCUGGUUCCCUCCGAAGUUUCCCUCAGGAUAGCUGGCACUCGGGAAACAGUUUUAUCCGGUAAAGCGAAUGAUUAGAGGCAUUGGGGUCGAAACGACCUCGACCUAUUCUCAAACUUUAAAUGGGUAAGAUGCUCGUCUCGCUUAAUUGGAGGCGGGCUUCACCUCUCUAUAAACGUGAAUGUGAGUGCCCAGUGGGCCAUUUUUGGUAAGCAGAACUGGCGCUGUGGGAUGAACCAAACGCGCGGUUAAGGCGCCCAAUGCGGACGCUCAUGAGACACCACAAAAGGUGUUGGUCGAUACUGACAGCAGGACGGUGGCCAUGGAAGUCGGAACCCGCUAAGGAGUGUGUAACAACUCACCUGCCGAAUCAACCAGCCCUGAAAAUGGAUGGCGCUGGAGCGUCGGGCCUAUACCGUGCCGUUGGGGCGAAGCAGACAAAUAAUCUGUGUGGAUGUCCCAACGAGUAGGAGGGUCGCCGUGGUGAGCGCAGAAGGUGCGGCCGUGAGGCCGGCUGGAGCCGCCACGGGCGCAGAUCUUGGUGGUAGUAGCAAUUACUCAAGUGAGAACCUUGAGGACUGAAGUGGAGAAGGGUUCCAUGUGAACAGCAGUUGAACAUGGGUCAGGCGGUCCUAAGCGAUCGGGUAACUCCGUACCUAGACGAGGGUGACAACUAUCACUGAUAAUACUGUGAAGUGUUAUAGCCCUCCGGAGCGAAAGGGAAUCGUGUUAAUAUUCACGACCCUUACCGUGGAGAUCGCCCCUUUCGGGGGGCAAGUGCGGUAACGCAAACGAACACAGAGACGUCGGCUGGAGCCCCGGGAAGAGUUCUCUUUUUUGUAAGGAGCGUACCCCCUGGAAUCGGCUUGUCCGGAGAUAGGGGCGUGGCUUCCGUAAAGCAGCGCGGGUCUUGCGCUGUCCGGUGCACUCUAGUCGGCCCUUGAAAAUCUGUGGGAGACAGUGUGAUUUUCACGGUAGGCCGUACCCAUAUCCGCAGCAGGUCUCCAAGGUGAACAGCCUCUAGUCCUAGAACAAUGUAGGUAAGGGAAGUCGGCAAAAUGGAUCCGUAACUUCGGGAAAAGGAUUGGCUCUGAGGGCUGGGUCGGAUGGGCUGGCGUAAGAAGCUGUUCCGGUUUUGGUGAGGACUGGGCGAGGCUUUCGGGCUUUACUCGGACCAUGCCGAGACCAGGCAGUAGACGACGUCAGCUGUGCUUGUCGUGUUUCGGCGCGGCAGCUUCGUCCGGCAACAAACAGCCAACUCAGAACUGGCACGGACUAGGGGAAUCCGACUGUCUAAUUAAAACAAAGCAUUGCGAUGGCUGUUGCUCGGUGUUGACGCAAUGUGAUUUCUGCCCAGUGCUCUGAAUGUCAAAGUGAAGAAAUUCAAUCAAGCGCGGGUAAACGGCGGGAGUGACUACGACUCUCUUAGACGGGCCGCUUGAUGAUGGUGUGCUGGACUGAGAGACAAACCUGAGCGUGGCGUGGGCAGACCAGCCUGCUGUUACUUGGUGGACAUGCAGGUUAGGCACUGCCACCUCGAGAUGGUGAAACUAUGCUAUGUUGAGGCAGAAGCUUGGCCGAAGCUUGGAUGACUGUUCAGUAAUGGCGGCUGGAUGCCGGGGGCUCCAGUUCGAAAAAUGGCUCCACUACUGGGGAAACCUGGUAGAGGGUGAACAUUACUGAUCAGGAUUCCGGGCUAAAGCUUUGCUUCUAGUGCGGAUGAUUGUGAGGAUUGUUCUGCCUUCGGAUUGGGUGGCCCCCGCACCCGGUUCGGUCUGGUGGUUCGAUUCUCACCGGAGGGAUCCUUGCUCCGUAGGUACGCCCUUGGAGUAGGGGGAACUUCGCUCGAAUUGAAACACGGAUCAGGAUCGGGCCUGCACGCGCUAUGGUCGGGUGCGGCUCGAACUCUAACAUACUUUCAUUUAGCUGGUCUCCGCUUAGGCGGGUCCGGGUUUCGAUUCGGAUGUUGAUGAUCGCAGGGUAAAGGCGCGAUGGCAGAGCUGGCUCGUCUUGGCGACGCCGGAGUGCUUAUCCCUGUCUGACAGUGUUGGUGCCUCCAAGUGGCGAGAGUCGGGCA